CUAGAAUUUCCAUUAUAAUGUUGAGUAGAAGAGGUAAGAAAGCACAACUUUACCUUGUUCCUAUUAUCAGAGUGGAAGCUUCUAGUCACUAAAGAGCUGUUGAAAAAUGAACUCACUCUACAUUCUUUGCAUUUGACAUAAUCAAUUCUAAGAAAUGACUGGACAUAGUUAUGUUCCCAGGUUUACCCCGUAGGAUGUUAAAUACUUCACAUUUCCUAAUUUGUACAUUCAUCAGAACAUCAGAAUAUGUAUAUUCUACAUCAUUUCAUAUGGUGAUGAAAUAUAACUUU